UAGGAAAUCUUCGGCAAUGGGGGGAACCCUGACCGAGCAACGCCGCGUGAGUGAAGAAGGUUUUCGGAUCGUAAAGCUCUGUUGUUAAGGAAGAACGAGUGUGAGAAUGGAAAGUUCAUACUGUGACGGUACUUAACCAGAAAGGGACGGCUAACUACGUGCCAGCAGCCGCGGUAAUACGUAGGUCCCGAGCGUUGUCCGGAUUUAUUGGGCGUAAAGCGAGCGCAGGCGGUUAGAAAAGUCUGAAGUGAAAGGCAGUGGCUCAACCAUUGUAGGCUUUGGAAACUGUUUAACUUGAGUGCAGAAGGGGAGAGUGGAAUUCCAUGUGUAGCGGUGAAAUGCGUAGAUAUAUGGAGGAACACCGGUGGCGAAAGCGGCUCUCUGGUCUGUAACUGACGCUGAGGCUCGAAAGCGUGGGGAGCGAACAGG
rnacentral:rRNA from 1 species